rnacentral:lncRNA from 1 species
GUUCUAUUAUUAAUUGCAUUUGAAAUUUCAAAUUCAGCUAUCUGUGUCUGAUUGAAUGUAAUUGUUAGAAUAAUAAUAAUUAACUUAGAAUCAAAGUUACAAUGAGUUGAAUUUCUAAUGACUCCUGUAAUAAGAAUCAAUCGGUGAUUACUGUACUUGCUUAGAAUCAUUGCCAUGCCUCUUGAUAGUCUGGAAAUAUUUUGAGAGGAUACAUAGAUGCUUGCUUAUGAUUAAUGAAAAUGAAUUUAGACAAAUGUUAUAUAUUGUAUUACAACGGUUGUUCAUGUCAAAACAGGAAUUUGCAUCAGUAAGUACCUACUGUUUGUAUCUUUACAUCGAGCAUGUGUAUUAAUCAAGUAUGUGUAUAUUUAGAAUGUUGUAUGUUCAUAUUAAUAUUCUGGCAACAUUACUUAUUGUCAUCCACUGUACUGGUCAGUAUUCAAGAUAGUGAGUGACGAAUCCAGUGGGGAUAUUGUGCAAUGCACUAUUCAUUUUCUGUGAAUGAAAAUAUCAAACCUGCUGAAAUUUUAUGAUGACUGACUUCAGAAUUUGUUCUCCAAAUUGUGCUAACAAUACAGAUGUAUUAACAGUAUGUUUAAAGAAGGAUGCAAAUCUAUUCAUGAUAGUGCUGAAAGAGAAGGCUCAAAUGCCACAGUAGUGAAUGAUAGCAAUAUUCAACAUGUAGAGAACCUCAUCUUGAGUGAUAGUAAAUAACAGUUCAAGAAAUACUGGAAAAAUCCAUAAGUUGUAAAGAAGUUGGAUUUACCUGAAAUGCACAUGUUGGCUACUUGUCCAUGAUCUUGGCAAGAGGUGGUUUUGCUGGGGGAGGAUAGUGAUGAAAGAAGAAAAAUGAAUAAUUAUUGAACAGAAGCCUUUUUUAUUUAUCUACACUAGUAAUUUAUUAAUUCAUUACACUAAAAUAAUAUUUAUACAAAGAAAAUAUGGCUAAUUAACAAUUUAAAGUGAUCUUGAGUGGAUAUGUAAAUAGAUUUGGGAUAUAAAUUGGAUUUUUGCUGGCAGCUUAGAAGAGGAAAAGAUUUCAGUCAUCUGUAGUGGUAAUGAUUUGAUUAUUUGGUGCUUUUGUGAUUUCUGUUCAGUCACUAUCACAGUUGUUUGUAACUUGGUAUCAUUGUGGUUGCUGUUGGCAGGAAGUCUAUGAGAAAAAAUACCAUUGAAUUUAUCUUUGUAUUUUUUCUUAUAUGUUCAUAAUUUUGAAUCUAUUGGUAACUAAUUUAUUUUGCAUUCACAAUUACUAUUCAUUGAAAAUAUUCUUAUUUAUGUUGUCUUUAAUAAAUUUAAUUUCUUCUUCACUGAGAUGGCUCCUGGCCAUAAAGUUGAUGAAAUUGCAUAUUUUGAUAAAUGUAUGGGCCAAACCAAUGAAUAAUUUAUCAACAGUUGAAGACAAGAUCAGGGCUGUGUGUGAGAGGUGAUCUGUUAGGCAAGCGGAUCCUAACAAAGUAUUUUAUAUUGAAAAAAAUUAUUCAUGAUCAAAAGGAGUGCUUUUCCUGCAGGAUAAUGCCAAACUACACAUCUCUCAGAAAACUGCAAACAUUUGGUUAAGUCCUUCCAAUCCCUUACAGUCCCAAUUUAGCACCUUCAUAUAUCCAUCUAUAAGGUUAUUCAGAAAUUAAUUUCAUUUUUUCCCUAUGAAUGGCAUUAGUUGUAUUUUUAACCUACCAAUUUCAUUCUAAGCCAUAUUAUCGUUAUACAUUUUGAUAGUUUGACAUUUCAAG